GCAGUUAAAUGGUGCACAGGAAGUAGCCAGCAGGUUGAAGAAGAGGGAGACCGAGAAGUGGUUGAGGUUGUGGCUCUCCUUGCCGAUGGCAACCUUCACCUCUUCUCUCUCGCUCCCUCUGCAACUCCGACCCUCCUCAUCACGCUCUCCUCGCCAAUUUUCUUCUCCCCCACCCUCGCUUUCCUUCCCUCUUCUUCGUUCCUCCUCUAAAUUCCCCUGCCGAUUCUCAGCCCUAACUGUCUCCUCCUCUUUGGACUCCUCCUCCGAUGACUUCGAUCAUGGCAAGCACUCGAAUCCGCCAUUUUCAUCCAAGAAAUCAGUUCUCUCAUCUUUGAUACAAGAGAUAGAGCCAUUAGAUGUAAGCAUAAUUCAAAAAGAUGUUCCACCGACCACUGUGGAUGCUAUGAAAAGGACUAUCUCUGGCAUGCUGGGCUUACUUCCAUCUGACCAGUUUCAAGUUUUGGUUGAGGCUUUAUGGGAACCAGUUUCUAAGUUAUUAGUUUCUUCAAUAAUGACUGGGUACACAUUGCGUAAUGCUGAAUAUAGACUCUGCCUUGAAAGAAAUCUUGACUUUGAUGAUGGAAAUUACGACAAACAAACAAAUGAUGAUUGUAGAAUUGAUCUACAUGAAAUGUUGCUUGACAGUGCUAAUUCGGAGAACAUUUUAGAUGAAAAUGAGGUUUCUUCUAAAUGCGAGGAAUUUUUGGAUGAACCGUGUGAAAACCUUAAUAUUCAAGGCAUUGGUGAAACUUCUCCUGAAGUUCAACAGCAUAUUCUUCAUUUAAAGUUUCAAUUAUCUUCAAUUAAAAAGGAACUCCAUGAAGUCAAGAGAAAAAGUGCUGCUCUUCAGAUGCAGCAGUUUGUUGGCGAGGAGAAAAAUGAUCUGUUGGACUAUCUGCGAUCAUUACAGCCAGAAAAGGUGGCUGAGCUCUCUGAACCUACAUCCCCUGAUUUAAAAGAAGCCAUACAUUCUGUUGUCCACGGACUUCUUGCAACCCUUUCCCCAAAGAUUCAUUCCAAAGUUCCUCCUCAAUCAGAAAAUAUUGGAACUGGCACGACAGAUAUUGGUAAUGAAGAUUGUGCAGAACUCGUUGAGAAUACUUCUCUCCAAUUCCAGCCCCUCUUAACAUUAACACGAGACUAUCUGGCUCGUCUGCUUUUCUGGUGUAUGCUGUUGGGGCAUUACAUGAGAGGCCUGGAAUACAGGAUGGAGCUGAUGAACCUUCUUUCCCUUUCAAGCAAUGUUGAAAAUGCUUCAGGUGGCGUGACCAGUGAUGACUUUUCUUCACAGUGCUGAGGGCGACAGUGACAGAGUUCUGAAGGGGUGGGUGGGGCUUCGAUUUCUUCUGGAAGUAUAUAUACAGCUUUCAAGUAAAGUCUUCACGAUGCAAGUCGGGGCUCGUCCCCGAUCAAUAUUGGAUCAAACAAUAGGGGGCCGUAGCAGGAUUGCUUGGUUGAGUUCUCCCACAUAGCGUCAAGGAAUCGAAGCAAUCCUAAGAUCGUACGUUUCUUAAUGUUGUUUUGUCUUGAGUUAGACCCAAAGUCGAAUUUAUGUAUCCAGUAAAGAUUUGCUUAUCAGAUAUCAUGUUUCAGUGUGUCAAUCUUAUAGCCCUUG